CUUCAUGUACAGUUUAUCUGUUUUGCCAGGGGAAUGACUGAGUGAAAGGAGACUACCAAAUUGAGACUUCCCAGCGUCAUAUGCUUCUCGAACCAUUUGAUAGCUUACGAACCCAGAGAAAAGAGUGAGCUUAGAAUUCUUCAUCUUCCCAGAAUUAGUAUCAACUUCUAGAGGGGAAUUAGUACUGGAAGUGUUAUCAGGUGACUCAUUUUCACUAGGAAAUGCCGCACCAUCAUGUGCAUUGAGAAGUACACAAUAGCAAUGAUCUGUUUCUGUCAAGACCACUGCAUCAAAAGUUGAGUCAAAAUCAUCCACUGCAAAACAGAUGUCUGGAUAGGCAGGAGUUGUCUCCACUUCCUUUUUUGAGUCCAAAUGAAAAUCUACACGACUUGGUGAUGCAUAAACAGUCUUUACUACCUUGUAUGGAGAUAAUGGUGUAUCUUGCCCAGCUUGAUGAUUGCGAAGGACGUGAUGACUGCAAAUUGCUACUGUUACUGUGAACGAAGUGUGUGCAAUUAAAUUCAAGUAAAAUGAGCGCCUCCAAUCUACCUCUGAAUUUUCACUGACCAAAUUAUCCAACUUAGCUGCCCACCUGCGCACAAAGUAAGGAGGGAGGCCCUGCACAUUAUCAUUGAAACCAUAUCCUUCUGUGCCCAUUUUUCUGACGAAAAAUACGAGAUCAUCAUCCUGCCGUCCUCUUGACUCCUUACCACGGAUAAAGUACAAAUCUAACAUAUCAUACCAAAAUCGGCCAUCCAUUUCAACAUCUGAAGGAUCUCGUUCAUGGACGGUACCUUUACCCAGCAAGGUGGAGUGCUUCUUCACCAUACUCAACAAUUCAUGCCUGGAAGGGAUCUCUUCUUUAUGACCUAGCAUUUCGGUUUGCCAAAUUUGAACGAGAAAACACUCAACCAAAGCUUCUGAUAAUCUUGAUGUCAGUUCGAGGUUAAUGCGUCGACAAAUAACACAAGGAAAUUAAGUUUCUCAAUAUAUAUAUAUAAAACGUUUCGAUGAAAAAACCGGCGCGAGCGUUUGUUGAUC
rnacentral:misc_RNA from 1 species